GGUCAAGAUAUAAAGGGCGUAUGGUGAAUGCCUUGGCAUCGGGAGCCGAAGAAGGACGCGAUAAGCUGCGAAAAGCUCUGGGUAGGCGCAAAUAGCCUGUGAUCCAGAGAUCUCCGAAUGAGGAAACUCACAUGGGAAACCCCAUGUAUCCAUAAGUGAAUACAUAGCUUAUGGAGGGUAAACUCAGGGAACUGAAACAUCUAAGUACCUGA
rnacentral:rRNA from 1 species